AUUGAACGCUGGCGGCAGGCUUAACACAUGCAAGUCGAGCGGGGUGAUGGUGCUUGCACUAUCACUUAGCGGCGGACGGGUGAGUAAUGCUUAGGAAUCUGCCUAUUAGUGGGGGACAACAUCUCGAAAGGGAUGCUAAUACCGCAUACGUCCUACGGGAGAAAGCAGGGGAUCACUUGUGACCUUGCGCUAAUAGAUGAGCCUAAGUCGGAUUAGCUAGUCGGUGGGGUAAAGGCCUACCAAGGCGACGAUCUGUAGCGGGUCUGAGAGGAUGAUCCGCCACACUGGGACUGAGACACGGCCCAGACUCCUACGGGAGGCAGCAGUGGGGAAUAUUGGACAAUGGGGGGAACCCUGAUCCAGCCAUGCCGCGUGUGUGAAGAAGGCCUUAUGGUUGUAAAGCACUUUAAGCGAGGAGGAGGCUCUUUUGGUUAAUACCCAGAAUGAGUGGACGUUACUCGCAGAAUAAGCACCGGCUAACUCUGUGCCAGCCGCCGCGGUAAAAC
rnacentral:rRNA from 1 species